GUGGGGAAUCUUCCGCAAUGGACGAAAGUCUGACGGAGCAACGCCGCGUGAGUGAUGAAGGUCUUCGGAUUGUAAAGCUCUGUUAAUCGGGACGAAAGAGCCUAGUGUGAAUAAUGCUAGGAAGUGACGGUACCGGAAUAGAAAGCCACGGCUAACUACGUGCCAGCAGCCGCGGUAAUACGUAGGUGGCAAGCGUUGUCCGGAAUUAUUGGGCGUAAAGCGCGCGCAGGCGGAUCUGCCAGUCUGUCUUAAAAGUUCGGGGCUUAACCCCGUGAUGGGAUGGAAACUACAGAUCUAGAGUAUCGGAGAGGAAAGUGGAAUUCCUAGUGUAGCGGUGAAAUGCGUAGAGAUUAGGAAGAACACCGGUGGCGAAGGCGACUUUCUGGACGACAACUGACGCUGAGGCGCGAAAGCGUGGGGAGCAAACAGGAUUAGAUACCCGGGUAGUCC
rnacentral:rRNA from 1 species